rnacentral:rRNA from 1 species
CUGAUCAGCAAUGCCGCGUGAGUGAAGAAGGCCUUCGGGUUGUAAAGCUCUUUUGUCAGGGAAGAAACGGUGAGGGCUAAUAUCCUUCGCUAAUGACGGUACCUGAAGAAUAAGCACCGGCUAACUACGUGCCAGCAGCCGCGGUAAUACGUAGGGUGCAAGCGUUAAUCGGAAUUACUGGGCGUAAAGCGUGCGCAGGCGGUUUUGUAAGUCUGACGUGAAAUCCCCGGGCUCAACCUGGGAAUUGCGUUGGAGACUGCAAGGCUAGAAUCUGGCAGAGGGGGGUAGAAUUCCACGUGUAGCAGUGAAAUGCGUAGAGAUGUGGAGGAACACCGAUGGCGAAGGCAGCCCCCUGGGUCAAGAUUGACGCUCAUGCACGAAAGCGUGGGGAGCAAACAGGAUUAGAUACCCUGGUAGUCCACGCCCUAAACGAUGUCUACUAGUUGUCGGGUUUUAAUUAACUUGGUAACGCAGCUAA